GACAACUGCUCACCUCUCUAGGUACAAGGAUAAGCAUUUAGAAGAUGGAUGAAAAAUAAGUCCUGCAAUGAGAAAGAUUCUGGAGAGUAUGUCUUUAAAUAACAUAGAGCAUCCUUACAAAAGAAGUCAGAGCAAGAACUCAGAGCAGAGAACAUGAAAAAGGGCUGUUUACUGUACUGCUCCACUGGAUUAUAAAUCUGAAUUUUUUAAAGUUUAUUUUAUGUACAUGAGAACUGUUGCUCCCUUCAGUCCCACCAGAAGAGGGCAUCAGAUUCUACUACAGACGGUUGUUGGGAAUUAAACUCAGGACCUCUGGAAGGACACUCAGUGCUCUUAACCACUGAGCCAUCUCUUCAGCCCCUAUAUCCAGAUUUCUCUACAACUCAGAACCACCUGCCCAAUAGUGGCAAUUCCCACAGUGCUCUGGGCCCUCUCAGUUCAAUGAAAAAUGAAGGCAAUUCCUAUCAGACAUGGUCUGAGGUCAAUGUGAUCUGGGCAGUUCUGCAGUUGAGACUCCCUCAGGUACUCUGGGCUGUGACCACUUCACACUGAUGAUGACUAGGACACUAAGACAGAAAUUGUUACAAUAAAUCAAUCUCAUUUUCCAAUGAUAAAUGCAUGUUUAUUUGUGUAGCAGAAAAUUCGUGUUCUAGGAUUCAACAAACCCUAGGACACCAUUUUUU
rnacentral:lncRNA from 1 species